rnacentral:lncRNA from 1 species
UUAUUAUGAUAUCACAACUAUUUCAAAGCCUUAAUAGGACUUAUUGAAGGAGUAAAAGAGUUCUCCACAUUCAUCUCUUCUGAUACCAUUUCCUCUGUGGGCAAUGAACUUUUUUCUCUCCUAAUUAAUCGUCUUUCAUCACAUAUUCUAAUCCCUUCCUGGUCAAAUCACGCCAGCACCUAUAACACAGUAUAUGUCCAUUUUCACUGCAUUUCAUUAAUACCAAAAAAUGGCCUGCAUUUUCAUCACCAAACCUUUACUUCUUCUUGUAACCAUUAAUGCAUAAGACAGAACAAUCAACGAGACACGUGACCUCGAGAAUUUAGGUUAGUAAAUAGAGGAACGUGCAAGAAGGGACGCGCAGGGGAGAGCUAAAAAUGCAAAUUUACUAGCAUAACAUAAACCUUGAGACCCAAUAAUUAAAACCCAGCAUAGAUAGCAAUCAAGUAGAAAACAUUUUCCUCCAAAUAUGUAAAAUCUUCCACCUUUCCCAGAACAAACUCCACCAAGCAAAACCCAGAUAGAUAAAUUGAGAAAAAGGGUUGAAAAAGAGUACCAGUAGAAUGAUAGAGGGGAGUGUUGUCAGGGUCAUUAUGAAUAGUAGGUGAUCUCCUGCGAGUCGGUGGUGGUCUGGAUCUCAUUGUUUGCCGGAGCUAGGAGGUGGAGGAGCAGCUGCUGACGGUGGCAGUCGGUUGUUGAAUUCACAACUUCAUUUGUAGCAAUAUAAUUGGCUGGAGUAAGGUGUCGUCAGGGGCUAUUGUUUACUGUUUCUUCAUAAAAAAUACUUUCCACUUUCCCUUUUUUUACCAAAAUGAGCAUUUUUGGUGGAUCAGUGCGGUCCUAAGAUCUGGAUCAUUAGAUCUGUGUACGACAUAUAAUAUAAAAUUCAAUAAAUUCAUAAGCAUAAUCACAUGGCAUGGUACAGGC